GACGAACGCUGGCGGCGUGCUUAACACAUGCAAGUCGAACGGAAAGGCCCUGCUUUUGUGGGGUGCUCGAGUGGCGAACGGGUGAGUAACACGUGAGUAACCUGCCCUUGACUUUGGGAUAACUUCAGGAAACUGGGGCUAAUACCGGAUAGGAGCUCCUGCUGCAUGGUGGGGGUUGGAAAGUUUCGGCGGUUGGGGAUGGACUCGCGGCUUAUCAGCUUGUUGGUGGGGUAGUGGCUUACCAAGGCUUUGACGGGUAGCCGGCCUGAGAGGGUGACCGGCCAAAUGGGAAUGAGAUACGGGCCCAACCCCGACGGGGGGGCGGAGGGGGGAAAUAUGCCAAAUGGGGGGGGGCCUUAAGCAGGAAAGCCGGGGGGGGGGAGGCGGGCCUUGGGUUUGAAACCCGUUUUGCCCUUGAAGGAGGGGGGGGUGAGGGAAAUGGUAAAAAAACCACGGGUAAAUACGGG
rnacentral:rRNA from 1 species